CCACUCCGGCGCGCCAUCUUUAGUGCUGGCAGCGAGGCUUCUUGGCCCCAUACGUCCAACCUUGCUGCUGGAGAGAUUGGGGUUUAUUUUUAACUGACUUACAUGAACGUGACCCCAUUUCCGAGGCCUGGCGCCUUUCUCCUCCUGUAAGUCUUCGCUCGAAUGUCACCUUGCGAGGGAAGUUGUUCCUGAUCACCCUGACUAUGUCCCCUACCGGAGAGGACACUGCAUUGGCUCCUCCGGAGGUCACAGCAACGUGGCGCCAUCUUGGAAGCAGAGAGCAGCCCUCACCGGACACCAACACCAGGCGCGGUGAUCUUGGCCUCCAAAGCUGUAAGAAAUAAAUUUCUGCUCCUUAUAAAUAA
ensembl:lncRNA novel transcript